rnacentral:rRNA from 1 species
GACGAACGCUGGCGGCGUGCUUAACACAUGCAAGUCGAACGGAAAGGCCCUGCUUUUGUGGGGUGCUCGAGUGGCGAACGGGUGAGUAACACGUGAGUAACCUGCCCUUGACUUUGGGAUAACUUCAGGAAACUGGGGCUAAUACCGGAUAGGAGCUCCUGCUGCAUGGUGGGGGUUGGAAAGUUUCGGCGGUUGGGGAUGGACUCGCGGCUUAUCAGCUUGUUGGUGGGGUAGUGGCUUACCAAGGCUUUGACGGGUAGCCGGCCUGAGAGGGUGACCGGCCACCAUGGGACUGAGAUACGGCCCAGACGCCUACGGGGGGCAGCAGUGGGGAAUAUUGCACAACGGGCGGAAGCCUGAUGCAGCAACGCCGCGUGCGGGAUGACGGCCUUCGGGUUGUAAACCGCUUUAGCCUGAGACGAAGCGUGAGUGACGGUAAUGGGUAAAGAAGCACCGGCUAACUACGUG